UACGUAGGGCGCAAGCGUUGUCCGGAAUUAUUGGGCGUAAAGAGCUCGUAGGUGGUUGGUCGCGUCUGCCGUGAAAACCCAUGGCUUAACUGUGGGCUUGCGGUGGAUACGGGCCGACUUGAGGUAGGUAGGGGAGAAUGGAAUUCCCGGUGUAGCGGUGAAAUGCGCAGAUAUCGGGAGGAACACCGGUGGCGAAGGCGGUUCUCUGGGCCUUACCUGACGCUGAGGAGCGAAAGUGUGGGGAGCGAACAGG
rnacentral:rRNA from 1 species